CUCACAGAUAACCAUGGUUAAUAAAUGGUCAGUAGAUGACACGUCACUGGCUUUAAAAUAUAAACCCCAUUGAUGCAAAAAGAUGCUGCAUGGAAUGACAAUGAGGUUUGGAACAGACUUGGUGAAGAACAUGGAAACAUCUCCAAAUAAAAUGGCCCCAAACAUCAUCAGGAGUGCAAAAGAAUGAAGUAAAAAACAUCUCUACGCCAAUCUCAUUGGAACAGCAGAGGAAAGCACAGAAGAAAGAAAGCCGUGAACGUUUGAAAUAACGAGAACCCAAAGGUCCCACACCAACCAUAGUGUUCAACGGCUCUCCUGAUCCUCUCAAAGCUGAAAGUAUCAACUUUAUAAUGGACAAUGUGAACAUAAUAUGUGGAAGACAUUGACAUCACAGGCUGUGGAAUGACUCUUCAAUGUUCAAUACCCUUUUGCCAUUAAGCACACAGUGACUUUAAUUUAUAAAAUAUAUGCUUAAAUUUAAAUACCUGUACAAAACAAAUGUACAAUCAACUUGUGUAAAUUGUCAUUCUAUUUAAUAGAUUGUUCAUGAAUUGUCUUUAAAUGCAUUGUGAUUUCUUUUCAUCAUUUCAGACACAUGUAAAAGUUACUAAAAAUUAGUACUGCAUAUACUGUACAGUAUCUUUCUUUAUAAAAACAGAAAA